CUUGGUCAUUUAGAGGAAGUAAAAGUCGUAACAAGGUCUCCGUUGGUGAACCAGCGGAGGGAUCAUUACCGAGUUUACAACUCCCAAACCCAUGUGAACAUUACCUCUAUGUUGCUUCGGCGGAGCCGCCCCGGCGCCCGGAACCCCCUGCGGUCCCGCGGCCCGGAACCAAGGCGCCCGCCGGAGGCCACAAACUCUUCUGUUUUUACAGUUUCUUCUGAGUGUGCCGCAAGGCAGUAUACAAAUGAAUCAAAACUUUCAACAACGGAUCUCUUGGUUCUGGCAUCGAUGAAGAACGCAGCGAAAUGCGAUAAGUAAUGUGAAUUGCAGAAUUCAGUGAAUCAUCGAAUCUUUGAACGCACAUCGCGCCCGCCAGAAUUCUGGCGGGCAUGCCUGUUCGAGCGUCAUUUCAACCCUCGAGCUCCCCUUUCGGGGGGAGCCCGGCGUUGGGGACCCGGCGCUAACAACGCCGGCCCCGAAAUGGAGUGGCGGCCCGUCCGCGGCGACCUCUGCGUAGUAACAACCACUCGCACCGGGACCCGGGCGCGGCCACGCCGUAAAACACCCCACCUUCCGAAUGUUGACCUCGAAUCAGGUAGGAAUACCCGCUGAACUUAAGCAUAUCAAUAAGCGGAGGA
rnacentral:rRNA from 1 species